UACAGAGGUCUCAAGCGUUGUUCGGAUUCAUUGGGCGUAAAGGGUGCGUAGGCGGCGCGGUAAGUCGGCUGUGAAAUCUCGGAGCUUAACUCCGAAACUGCAUUCGAUACUGCCGUGCUUGAGGACUGGAGAGGAGACUGGAAUUUACGGUGUAGCGGUGAAAUGCGUAGAUAUCGUGAGGAAGACCAGUGGCGAAGGCGGGUCUCUGGACAGUUCCUGACGCUGAGGCACGAAGGCCAGGGGAGCAAACGGG
rnacentral:rRNA from 1 species